CCUACGGGAGGCUGCCGUGGGGAAUAUUGGACAAUGGGCGAAAGCCUGAUCCAGCCAUGCCGCGUGUGUGAAGAAGGCCUUCGGGUUGUAAAGCACUUUCAGUGGGGAAGAAAGCCUUGGGGCUAAUACCCUCGAGGAAGGACAUCACCCACAGAAUAAGCACCGGCUAACUCCGUGCCAGCAGCCGCGGUAAUACGGAGGGUGUGAGCGUUAAUCGGAAUUACUGGGCGUAAAGCGCGCGUAGGCGGUCUGAUAAGCCGGUUGUGAAAGCCCCGGGCUCAACCUGGGAACGGCAUCCGGAACUGUCAGGCUAGAGUGCAGGAGAGGAAGGUAGAAUUCCCGGUGUAGCGGUGAAAUGCGUAGAGAUCGGGAGGAAUACCAGUGGCGAAGGCGGCCUUCUGGACUGACACUGACGCUGAGGUGCGAAAGCGUGGGUAGCAAACAGGAUUAGAUACCCCUGUAGUC
rnacentral:rRNA from 1 species